rnacentral:lncRNA from 1 species
AAAAAGUUGACUAAUUCAUUUAUAAGUGUUCUUCAAUCCUUAUAAAUAUUGGAAAACAUAUAAGAACCUUUGUUACUAACAAAUAUAUAAGAUUUAAGAUUUGAAAACAAAAAACUGACCCAAUCCUUAAAUUGAGAGAUGAGAAUGUUUACGAUGUUCAAGAAAAAUCCAAGAAGGAAAAAUAAUAAAAAUCUUGAACGAACUAAUUCAACUACUAACAAAUGAAGGCAUAAAAUCAAGUCUAGAGGAAUCUCUAGAAACUUCAUCAAUAAACUCUUGCAAAG